rnacentral:rRNA from 1 species
CAAUAGCGUAUACUAAAGUUGUUGCGAUUAAAAAGCUCGUAGUUGGAUCUCAGGCAUGGGCGCACGGUCCGCCUCGCGGCGGUCACUGCGUGUUUUGUUUCCCAUCCUACGCUUCCCGGUUAUCAGCCCAUGGUGCUCUUCACUGAGCGUUUUGGGUGGCCGGAACGUUUACUUUGAAGAAAUUAGAGUGUUCAAAGCAGGCACGUCGCCUGAAUAAUGGUGCAUGGAAUAAUGGAAUAGGACCUCGGUUCUAUUUUGCUGGUUUUCGGAACACGAGGUAAUGAUUAAGAGGGACAGACGGGGGCAUCCGUAUUGCGGUGUUAGAGGUGAAAUUCUUGGAUCAUCGCAAGACGAACAACUGCGAAAGCAUUUGCCAAGCAUGUUUUCAUUAG